GACGUAGGGGGCGAGCGUUGUCCGGAAUUACUGGGCGUAAAGGGCGUGUAGGCGGUGCCGUACGUAGCGGUUUUAAGCCCGCGGCUUCACCGCGGGAGGGCGGCUAAACGGGGGCACUAGAGGGCAGGAGAGGUGCGUGGAAUUCCCGGUGGAGCGGUGAAAUGCGUAGAGAUCGGGAAGAACACCAGUGGCGAAGGCGGCGCACUGGCCUGGCCCUGACGCUGAGGCGCGAUAGCGUGGGGAGCGAACGGG
rnacentral:rRNA from 1 species